UACGAAGGGGGCUAGCGUUGUUCGGAAUUACUGGGCGUAAAGCGCACGUAGGCGGUCUUUUAAGUCAGGGGUGAAAUCCUGGAGCUCAACUCCAGAACUGCCUUUGAUACUGGGAGACUUGAGUCCGGGAGAGGUGAGUGGAACUGCGAGUGUAGAGGUGAAAUUCGUAGAUAUUCGCAAGAACACCAGUGGCGAAGGCGGCUCACUGGCCCGGUACUGACGCUGAGGUGCGAAAGCGUGGGGAGCAAACAGG
rnacentral:rRNA from 1 species